GUUUGGCUCCUUCAAAACUCUUGCUCCUCCCUCAAGCUUUCACACUAUUACCCCAGAGUGAGUUUCUGAAGCAUCACAGCCAUUUUCGAUCUGCAGCAGUCCAGUCACUGGAUCCUCCAAAAAGUUUUGGUGGCAGACUGGGGAUUUAACCUAUAUGGGAAGAUGAUGGUUAGCUAUGGGGCAGCUGUUAUGAUUGCGAUGACAGUGAUGAAUAAGCAUCAAUAUUUCAAAGGGGUUGUGAAAAGUGCCAGACUGAAAGAGAAUUAAGUCCACCACCACACAGCACAGUUUCAUUUUAGCCUUGAAGAAACUCACCCCAGGAUUCACCCUAUGCAAGAGCCUGGAGCUUCAGAAGCAGUUUUCAUUGAGUGAGCUGGUCCAGGCAGAGUUGUAUUAACUCAGCGGACUUGAAUAUUCAGGACAAGGUGGUCUUGGCUGAACAUCUGGCAUUUCUGUAAGGAUGCUAUGAAUU